AGAAAAGGCCGAGCAGCGCCCCGCCGCGGCGAAAUAAAGGGAGGAGCGGCGCAUGCGCAGGAGGGACGGGAAGCCGGGCGUUGCGCCUCGCCCUCACGCUGCCCGCAAGGCACGUGACGCUGGCAGGCGGGGCGGCGCUGCCUUCCCCGCACCGGUUAAAAGGCGCAGCGCCCAUAGCGCCGUCGUUUUUGGUCUUUGUGAGGAUGAGGUGCGGUGUCGUGUGCGAUCCCCCGCGCUGUGCCUCCCCAUGACUACAGCCGUGGUUGGUGAAGGCGCGUGUUGUCUCCAUGAGACCGCUUUGGGCAUCCUGCCGUACUGCCCCUUGCGCGGAACUUGGGAAACGGCAAUCCGUAGCCUGCGCGGAACAAAAUAGUGGAGCCCGCAGGGAAUUCUUGUGCAAAAGAUGCACCGCGCUCAAAUUCAAAAUCUGUGAAGUGUCAAAUCUGCUCGCAGGGUGCUGCUGCUCCAGACGGCGACUGGCGGAUUUUCCCAAGCGCCUGCCCAAACGCGGCAGGAAGGAGUCGCGUCCCUUCCCGACCUGUCCGCUCACAUCAGGAAAAGGCAUUACGAACUGUAACGCCUGUUACCGGCGCUCCGAGGAUGGCUUCGCUUGUAAUGGAUAAGCCAGGAAAGCUGUUCAGAUAAACUGCAGCAGGCUUAUGAUCUCAGGAGAGCUUUUAUUUUAAGUGUCUUGUUAAAGCCUGUUUUGUUUUGUUUUGCCAGAAGUGUUUCCCUAGCUUCAGCAAAAUAUUUUCCAGAGCUUCAAUCCCCGUUUUCUAAAUGCAACUAAAUGGCAGGGAUCCAAGUUGCAAAACCAGUGAUAUCUGCAUCAUUUUGCUUACUGAAGACAGGCUGAAAUCCAGCCGAGAUUAUUCUGUCUGCUAUGGGGCUAAACUACUGCAAGGAGAACGGGCUAAACGAAACAGGAUAGGUAGACAGAUAGCUGCACCGAGAAACAGCAGACCUUUCAAAAAGAGGUAGGAAGUGACUGAUGCUGCUGCAAAGGCACACCACAGCAGCCGGAUGAGCCUUACAAAGCAGCUCAGAAGAGCUGUGAGCGAACAAGCAUGAAUGUCAGUCCUGCCGCCCCUGAAUGGCCAUUGGUCACAGGAAUGCUGAAAGGAAAUAUGAGACAUGCACUCAGCGUGGUGAGGGACUUUACCAAAUAGAGCCAGCUGUCUGGAGAACAUCACUAGCAGAAGCUGGCAUGCACUGAUUUCUUGCUUGUGGAAGUAGACGUCUGGAAUUAAGUUUGUUAUGAAAUGUGGUUCAGCUGGGAAAGAUGUUGAAAUGAGGCAUCCUGUAUAUUGCUGUAUACUAUAAGAACCCAGGAGAAAGGAGGCGUUGGCUCAAGAUGUAGCAUAAGGUAGUCAUGAAAAGGAAUUUUUGCACUUUUAUUCACAUUGACUGCCAAGAUGAAGGAGCUGAUUCCACCAACUUCUUAAGUUCUCUUCUGAGGAAUGCUUAUGGCAACACUUGUUACUCCACCUGACAACAUCUAUUAGGCAGCAGAAUGUAUUUCUUCUGGUCUCCACCAAAUCUUUGGUGUUACAGCACUAUAGUAAGACAGUUAUGUUCUAUGGGCCCCAUAAGAUCAUUAGAUGACCCAGAGAGCAAUCUGUACUUGUACACAACUAUCCUAUCCUCUGAAUGUGCCAGACAGAAUAAUCAAGUAUGAAAAAAUGAUUAGCUUCUGGUGGACCUAGAUGUUAGAACUGGUAUGUAUAUAUGACAUGUAGUGUUGGAAAGCGGGUUUUUAAGACCCUGUAAAAGGGAGAAGAAAUAAUGGACCUGAUUUAAGAGCCAGGGGGGUAUGUGCUAGGAUAGGAAAUUCUUGGCUGUGAGAGUAGGGGGGGAUUAGAUCUGUGGUCAAAAGUCUCAGUAGAAAGGAGUUCAUUACUACCAUCUCACAAGAAAAGAAUAGCAAAAAGCUUUAUGAAACCUCAAAGAACUGAUGUUCUACCAAGGCCAGACAGCCUCUGCCACCAUCCAAAACUGAGCCAGAAACCAAAUAACCCAGAUGUAUUUGCAGAUGUGCAAGUAAUUAUUCUAGGGCAACCAUGUUGAUCACAGCUUUUGGGUAUAAAACUAAAAAAAUAUUAUCUGAUGAUGUGAUUCGUGGAGCCUGAUUUUCUGUGAAAGGAUCUGAUCAGAUAGUAUUUAAUCUUAAGAGGUAUUUAAAAUUGAUUUAUCACAAACAGAUUGAUUUGAUUCUGCAAGAUGCUCUGGGCUGUGCUUACAUCUAAGAUACAGGUCACUGUGUGACAUGGCAUUUUGAAACUUUAUUAGCAUUUAAAUAAAAAGUGGAGGUAAUAUCAGUGAUACCAUAUUGCUGAGCAUCAUGCUCACCAACACAAGAGUGUCUUAGUUUUCGUAAGUUUGUUUUUAAACCAAAAUGCCUCAAGGCUUGCACGCAUCAUCACAACCUCUGUAGUGGAGAUAGCUAUCUACUAGGUGGGUAUUAUGACUGAAAUGGGUAUUAAGAGAGAAAAAGGUUUCUAAGUGCUGAGCUCAGAGAUGAUGAGUGUAAGUAGCUCCAAUUUCUCUCCUUGCUCAGAUAUGGGGAUGCUGAAGAUGAGAGCUUUAUAUCUGCAAUACCCUGGUAAAACAACUCAUUCAAUUGGAUGUAUAAAUAUUUAUUUGUAUGUGUCUUGUGUGCUCUUCAGUGAAAAAUACAGCUACAAAAAUGUCACAAACAAGCAUACUGAUAGCAAGUGCAUUCCUGUUUCCCUAGUUUUUGCCAGACUUCUAUGAUGGUCAGCGCAUCAAUGGACAAUGGAAGAGCCACUGAUGUCACCUGUCAAAAGUUCAGUAAGGCCUUUGACACUAUCCUGCAUAACAUCCUUCUCUCUAAAUUGGAAAUACAGGUAUUUGGUGGGUGGACUGUUCAAUGGAUGAGGAAUUGGUUGCAAAUUCUUAUCAGUAGUGGUCAGUGGAGAUCAGUGACAAAUGGUGUCCAUCAGGGGUCUGUACUGAGACUGAUUCUCUUUAAUCUUUUGAGUUGGAAGGGACUCUUAAAGAUCACCUAGUCCAACUCCCCUGCAAUGAAAAGUGACAUCUGCAGCUAGGUCAGAUUGCUCACAGCCUGCUCCAGCCUGACCUUGACCGUCUCCAAUGACAGAGCAUCCACCACAUCUCUGGGCAGCCACUUCCACUGCCUUUUUUACAAUAAAGCAUUGGAACAGGUUGGCCAGAGAGGUGGUGGAUGCCCUGCCCCAUCCCUGCAUACACUCAAGGUCAGGCUGGGCUGAGCUCUGAGCAACUUGAUGUAGCAUUAGAAAUCCUUGUCCGUUGCUGGGGAGUUGGACUAGAUGACCUUUAAAGGUCCCUUCCAACUCAAACAACUCUGUGAUUCUAUAACUGGGAAAAAACAGUGUCAAAUAAAAGCUAAGAAAACAUUUUCAAGUCUACUUGAGCCUUUCUAAGCAAUUAUUAUCUGUAUUUAAGCCAUUGUAAAAUCUUAAAUUCUCCAGUUUUUUCCCCUCACAAUCUCUGCUUUUAAAGCCUUUACUCUUCCUAUUUCCUUCCCCCUUUUUACUCAGUGGUGUUUGAACAGUAUGCAGUAUCACAGCUUUACAAGAACACUGUAAAAGUAAGCCCAUCUCCAGACAGGGAAACAGUCUCAGUAGAUGCACAGCAGGAUAAACAGUCUUCCAGACAUAGCACUUCCAAGUGCAAACAUGGAGCAGAAAACUAGGAGAUAAAUGGAACUCUCAGAACUUGGUGUCCUCCAUAAAGCAUAGUCAGGAAAUACAGAGAUGGCAUGCUAAAAUGCAGCUGCUUUUAUUACCUGGUUCACAUAGUUGCUUAAAGCAGCAAGUCAGGAUGCAAAGAGAGGAAUAUAUAUUGUUGUUAUCAAAUAUCUCAGUGUAUCUGCAUCUGAAAAGCAAGAGAGUGCCUUGUACCAGUAAUGACAUUGUUUGAUGAUAAGUUUUGGAUAGUUUGUAAUAAUUUGAGUCAUUCUGCAAUGCACUUACCAUACAAAAAUGGCAAAGGAAAAGGUCAAUUACUUUAAUACAAAUACUGCAAGCCUACAAAUUAAGCUGAACAGAUGAAAACAAGGUAGAGGGGGAAGAAAAAUGAAGAAAAAAGAGGAGGUUAAAAAAAAAAAGAGAGAGAGAAAGAAAAGAGAAAUCAGAGAUCUCAAAUAUGGCUUUUUCUACCUUUAUGUUCCAAAAAUACUGAUAUUUAAGUUGAUUACUUUUUAUCUUAAUUUGUAUUUUUUUCUGAUGAGUAAUGGUUUAUAAAUAUUUUGAAUUAGACUUCAGUGAUAGUUCUUGUUUCUGCAUGUAACUGCUUUUGCACUGAGGAGGAAGGAGAAUGCUUGGAAUAUACUGCAAGAUGACAAACAAAAUGGCAGAAGGAAGCAAGUGCAGUUGAUACCAGUAAGAUGCUUGUCUUCUGGUACUGUAUUUCCCCAUUGGACACAGCUACCAUAUGGAACCUUUUACAUCUUUAUCUUUUCACCAGUAGCAUCUCUGAAUGAAUAUUUCUCACUGCCACUAUUCCUUAAGCUUGAUCAGCUUACAUGCCCCAUGGUAACUGUUGAGGGUUACUGAUGGGUCAUUCAUCCAUCAGAAUUAGCUGCCAGCUAUUCCAGGCAUGCAGAUAGAUGGAAGGGAGAUACCAGAUGAGAUGUGACAGCUUUCUGCUUCUGCAGUGAGAAUAGAUGAGAGCUGGAGAAAAUGCUGAUGGUAAGUGGGGGGAGCAAGGAUGUAAACGUAGGGGCAAAAUGUUCAAAAGUCAUCCUUCCUUGAUCACUUUUUCCAGUUCCUGUUUACCUUCCCCUCUCCCCCUCACAGUAUUUUAUUCCUGUUUUGCAUGGCUGCUAUCAGCAGAAAUGCUGCAGUGUCACUAGGGUGAGGAUUGAAUCUUCAUAUGGAUUUUACUUUCUAUUAGUUUCUCAGAAUCACAGAAUUGUAGGUGUUGGAAGGAAGAUCUGAUCUCUGGAGAUUAAUUAGUUCAAUCCCCUCUGUUAAAGCAGAUUCCAUUUCCGUGCAUUUAUCCACCAAUCUGCAGUUCAGUAAGGAGAGAAAAUAUUACUCCUUACUUUAGUUUGGUGAAGUGCUUCAACUGCUCCUCAUUUUCCCAAGGUAUAACACAGAUAAUGUGGAUUGACAUCAAGGCAUGUUCAUGACUUUCUGUAUAUUCUGAGCAGGAGGAUCAGCUUCUCUGCUUCAUGAUACAGAAACUGGGGAGCCACGCUGUGUGUCCAGAGUGAGUGCCUGAGGUCCUGCUGGUAAGGCACAACAUUCCACUGCCCUCCUUUUUUUCAACUAAAGGCAGGAAGAAAUGUCAAGGAGACUGGCAAGAAUAUCUGUCUUCUCAGCAAUGUCCCCAGCAUACAUCUUGCUUUGCCUGACCGGGGCAUGCUAUCACCAGCAUGUCUAAUUCCAUUGUGUGUCGCAAGAGCCGGAGAUGAGGGGAAGAGAGAGCAGGGGAAAUGAAGCAAUUAUUUGUCUUUCAGUGUUGGAAGUGUCAAGAGAAAGACAAAGUGUUUGAUUCUACAGCAUUUGAAGUCUAAGACAUGCUUACCCUGGAGGUUUUUAAUACCAAAUUUACUUGUGGUAGGUUUCCAAUUUUUACUGAGCACUUUUUAAAAUUAAAAUUUGGAAAUGAAACAAAAUUUGUUUUCAGUCUUAAGUCAUUACCACAUCAAACAGCCUGAGAGAGAGGUAAAAAAAAACAUCUACUAUACAAUGAAACCAACAGUUAUAUUCAAGGUUAAUAACCUAUUAUAUUUUACUUACAUUAUGAAAAAAAAAAACAAAAUAAAUUGCAAACUAAUUGAUAAAUUGAUGAUGUUGAUUAAAAAAAAAAAAAAAAAAGAA